CUAUAAUCAAUAGUGUAUUGCCUGUAGAUCUAGUACCUGUACUAAUAUUAGUAGAUGUAGAUCUAUAAUAAUAAUACUUUUUAAUACUAGAAAGUAGAUUUAUAUUUAUAAUCUAUCAAUUCUAUCUAAUCUAGAUCUAAAUAUUCUAAAUCUAGACUUCACUUUCACAUCACAUGAUUAUUGAUACAGACAGUGAAUGAAACAAAUGCAGUGAUUAUAUUAUAGUUUAUACUGAUUAUACUUAUAGCUCUACCAGUUGAUUAUCAUCAUCAUCAUAGAUAAUAAUCUAGACUAGUAUUCUAGAUCUAUAAAUAAUCAUAGUCACCGUGAUAGUCAAUGUAGUCAAGUCAAGAUAGUGGAACGUAAACUCGAAGCCUUCUAGACUAGAUCUAGCAUCUCUAGCUAGACUCUAACUUGUAGUUUGUAGAUCUUGGAAUUGGAUCGAAAUUCACCUUCCUAAAUUGUCUCUAAAGUCUGUAGCUGAUUUGAGAGGCCCAACGAGGCAAGAGUCUAUUACUAUUAGUACUCUGUCUCUUGAUCUAUCUAGUAGGCCUACUUAGCUAGUGCAUUAGCCUUAGCCAUAGUGUAGUCAAAUCUUGACAACUAGUCUUCUAGAUCUAAGCUUCUAGAAUAAUUAGAUCUAGAUCCAGUUUAGAUUUAGAAUAUAAAAGUAUUUUACUAGCUAAAAUACUAAAUCUACUGAUCUAAAUUCUAGAUAGAUAUACAAUAUAUAGAUCCAGUUUAGAUUUGGAAUAUAAAAAUAUUUACUAGCUAAAAUUCUAAAUCUAAUGAUCUUCUAUACUUAAUAUUUAAGAUAUUAUAUGACAUCUACAAAAAUUAUUAUUAAGAUAUAAUUAUAGAAUCUAGACUAGUUAUUUAUGUAUAUAAAAUAUAUAAAUAAAAGAUAUAUGUAUGCAGGCCUAGAUCUCAUAAAUUUAUAAUUGAUCCAGAUCUAUCAGUAAAAGUUACCUUCGAUGGGAAGUUUUACCCAAUCUAAUCUAUACAAGACAAUUUAUAAUCCAUGCCUCGCCUACACCCCAUACAUUAAAUAAUAGUUCCCAUUCCAUGCCAUGCCCAGACCCAUGAGUUCAUGAAAUAAUAAAUGAUGUGGUGUCAAGUUGGAUCUAUCCCCUGAAAUUCAGCACUUUAAUAUAAAACUCACAUAUCUAGUUAAUUAUUUGCUAUGACACUCUGAUCAACUUGGACUUGUGUGAUACAUAUAUGUUUCUUAUCAGAUUUAAUGAAUGAAGUUUUGGUGCAUUUUAAGGCUACAAAAGUAUCAUCAGGUGCAUUCUAACCAUUGGUAUUUUUCCUGGCAACAUUUCUAUUCUAGUCUGUGAUAAAUUAUAAAUUUAAAAAAAUGUUUGUAAUGUUUCAGUUAUUAACAAGUAGAACCAUGCCAACCAGUUCUGAUGAUGUACCAGAAUGGCUCAAGGAUCAUACUUAUACUAUUUCUACUCUCUGGGCAGACAUUAAUAAUAUUGGCAUCCAUUCAAUAUUUAUUUUAUGUUUGGAAAUGCAAGAAAAAGGCAUGCAUUCCUGACAAGUCAAUGAUAGGUUGCACCUCUUAAAGAUAACUUUCUGUUAUGAGAAAAGAUGAGAUUCUUGGACUCCUGCAUAGCACCACCAGAAAGGAAAAUCCCAUCAUGUUGCAAAAUAAAAGUCUUGGACCAAUUUUAAUUUAAGAUAUAUAUAUUAUACUGUAAGCUCUAUACAUAUUUAUGUAUAUCCUGUCAUUCAGCCAACAGGUUUGGAUUUAGUAUUUCUUUAAAUCUGUUUGAUAUUGUACUUGAAAACUAUUAAUCUGAGCCACAUUAAAACAAUAGGGAGUGCAGUGAAUGAGUGGUAAAGCACUUGGCUUCUGAACUGAGGGUUUCUGGGUUCGAUUAAGACUGGGAUUUUCAAUUUCAGAAUUCAAAAGGCUAGGGACAUAUGGCAUUAGUAAGGAAUAAGUAAAGGCAGUUUGGGGAUCCAUGGCUGAAUGGUUAAGUCAUGGGUUUGAAUCUCUGUGAAGACUCAGAUUAAAAUUUUUUAGAUUUUUGGGUGCCCCUGAGUCCACCUAACUCUAAUGGGUAGCUGACUUUCGUUUUGGAAAGUAAAGAUGGUUGGUUGUUGUGCUGGCCACAUGAUGCACUGGCCAAAGAAUCAAAUGACCUUAACAUCUAUAGAUUGUGACGUCUGAAAUGGGAUUUUUUUUCAAAAGGUGGUUGGUUGUUGUGCUGGGUACAUGACCCUCUCGCUAACCAUGGGGCACAGAAACUGAUAAACUUUAUAUCAUCUGCCCCAUAGAUUGCAAGAUAUGUAAGGGAAAUUUUACUUUUUUAAAAUUAAAAUAAGAAUCUAUCAAAAGUAAACAUAAAAUAUGGUGCAUUCUCCUUAAAACUAAAACCUUGUGCGAAGGUUUAAAAUGUUGGCAAAAAAAAGCAACAUCAUAUAUUCUUAAUUCCCUUUGCAAAACUUACUGAGAAGAAUAUGCAUGUUGUUCCCUCAUAAGUUUCUUGACAGAGGAAAUCUUGUUUAUAUUAGAUUUGAAUUAAGCAAAUUAAGAAAAAAAUUAUAAUCAUUAUUUCAAAUGGUUGUAUCUAAACCUUAUGAAUUAUUUUUCAGUUCUAAGUAUAUUGAGAUUAAUGGAUAAUCAUGAAAUUGUUAAAUAAUUGCUGCUAUCAUUCCAUUGACUAAAGAACCAUAAUUUAUUUUUUUUAAAAUUAAUUUCAAAAUGAUUUUUUUCAAGCAUAGAGUUCACAUAGAUCUUGAGUGAAUUUUUUUUUUUUUUAUUUGACUAAUGCUUCAAUUUUAUUGUAUCAUAUUAGUUGUUAAUUUUUAUUACCCAGAAUAUUUAAAAAAUGAGUACACUAUUUUCAUGUAAUAAUGUAACUUGGUAUUCACACAAUGCUCAAAAUACACCAUAAUCUUUAGGCCAUACAGAUUUGUAUAAAUUAACUUGUUUAAAUACAUUGUAAAUGUAUAUUGUUUGGAUAAGAAUAAAGUUUUUCUGUAGACAA